rnacentral:piRNA from 1 species
ACAGACCUCAGACUACCAGACUCCAC